UCAUGACCUAUGACCCAUGGGUUAUGUAACCUCCAUGGAGCAUCCAUGGAGCAUCCUAUGGGUUUAACCCAACUUGAUUAUCCAUGGAGCUUUGGCCCACUAUAUAAAUUAUGGAUGAUUUGCACAAUCAACCCAUAUAUUGAAUUAGUCUUCUUUUGAGCACAUAAUUAAUUCUCAAUUAAUUCUUGAGCAAUACUAAUUAAAUAUUAUUAUUCUUAUUAUUAAUAUACUAGAACUUAUAAUAUAUUAAUAACCAUAACUGUCUUAUUUCUCUCAUUUAGUCUAUCCAAGUGCAUGAUGCCAUGCAACCCAAAUGGACUAUGCCGGGUCGGGUCAAGUCUUACCAAUUAUAGUUAUGGACUUAGACAUUAAUCCAACAGUCUCCCACUUGGAUAAGUCUAAAACUAUUAUUGCGUAUGACUUCAGGAACCAACUGGCAAUCGUAGCUCUCAAAAGCUUCUGUCGAACUCUGACCUUGUAGAUGAACUCUGACCUUUGUCAAUGACUUGUCCAUUAGAUAAGGGAUCAUAUAUUCCUCCAUUCUAGAUAUCAUAUGGACUGAGACAUGGAUUAUAAUCAUUCUCUCUGUCCAUUUGUUGUUUCCCGAUUUCCGAUUUAUGACGACUGACUAAUUGAACAAAUCAAAUCAGUCCUGGCCCGGCCGAGCACUUCCAUUUGUCAUCAUCAAAUCAUCGAGGGGCCCACAGAUAUCGCUUUUAUCCCGAAGGUAAAAGGAAUGGAUAAACUUCGACUCAUAUGGCUUGUUCUACUACUUGUUGAAUCAUACACAAAGGCACGUUUUAUAGCACCGAGUUACCAAAUGCGUUUUCGUGCAAUCAAUGUACUAUCAACUCAUAGUAACAACUCAUAUCUCUAGGUUUGAAGAAUAUAAGAUAUUAUCGUCUCAUGAUCACUCAUGAUAAAAUCCAUGAAGUGAUUCCAAUGAGAGCGGGUUGAAUCCAAUACUCAGAACUUAUGAGCACUCAUGAGUGUUGUAGCCCUUUGUCCAACAUCUUAGACCUCUACAAGCCAACCCAUGACAGUCUUAACUCAUAUUUACUUCCAACAUUUGACCGACUGUGGAUGGUUUUAAUAACUUAGUCAUCUAGAACAAUGACCUAGUUAUUUAGGAAGUUAAAACAUGCAAAGUUAAUAAUUGAAUCCAAUAUGGUAUUAAAACCUAUGAACAUAAAUAAAACAACUUUUAUUUAUCACCAUAUGAUUACACAUUAUUCAUUGUAUACUGUUUCAGCUAUCAACUUUAUUCUUGAAUUUAAAACAAUAGUUGUCCCAUGCUUCAAGCAUGUACACUAUGUUUUCUAAACACUAGUCAUGCCAUACACCAAGUAUGCAUAUUAUGUUUGUCUAUGAUCUUUACUUUGUGAAAUAGAUCAAUUGAACAUAACUCUAGUGAUCCUCUUUUCACAGUCCCAAAUCCUUACUGCAAAUGCAAGAAUUCCAAAUUCAUGCCAUUUACAGAAAUCUGUUAGAUUCUAAACUUAUAUGCAUUGAUCCUCUUGUAAAGAUUUUUCACAAAGUUAGAAAUACUUGACAACAACCAUUACAGAGCAUUCCAAAGGAGAUCAACUCCUUGGAAACAUCCUUCUUGCAUUAAGUUUCCUAAUCUAACUUUGAAACAUUUCCAAAUUCCAUUUUGACUAUCACUUCCGAAUAAGAGUUGCCUCCUUAUAGAUUAUGCCAAUAUUGUCCUUCCUGAAUUACCAAUAUACUUCCAAUUGUCCUUGAGCAACCAAUCUUUGGUAAACCAUAGAUUGUCCUCGACAAUUGUUUAUUCCUUUUAGUCAUAUCCAGUUCUAAACCGUUUCCCUUCUUAAUGCCCCAGGCAUUUGGAAAAUUUUAGAAAGGAUGAAUAUAGCACAUGUAAUCGAUCCUAUAUCCGAAGCAUAUGGGACACGAUUCAUGAUGUCUCACAUAAAGACUAAACCAGUCUUUUGCUAUAAUAUAUUUCCAUUUCAAUUUGCCAAGUUCUCAUAAUUAAGAUUAUGAAAAAAGGGAUGCCAUAAUCAUAAUUGAAUUUUAGAAUGUAAAUAAUGGACCCAUAUACAGAAUUUCCUUAUGUUGAGCCAUUCCAACAUGAAAUUCAUAUAUAUAUAUAUAUAUAUAUAUANNNNNNNNNNNNNNNNNNNNNNNNNNNNNNNNNNNNNNNNNNNNNNNNNNNNNNNNNNNNNNNNNNNNNNNNNNNNNNNNNNNNNNNNNNNNNNNNNNNNNNNNNNNNNNNNNNNNNNNNNNNNNNNNNNNNNNNNNNNNNNNNNNNNNNNNNNNNNNNNNNNNNNNNNNNNNNNNNNNNNNNNNNNNNNNAGUCUUUUGCUAUAACAUUUCCAUUUCUAUUUGCCAAGUUCUCAUAAUUCAGAUUAUGAAAAGGGAUGCCGUAAUCAUAAUCGAAUUUUAGAACGCAAAUAAUGGACCCAUAUACAGAAUUUCCUUAUGUUGAGCCAUUCCAACAUGAAAUUCAUAUAUAUAUCCUUGACUAAAUGAUUAAAGCCUCAUGAUCUAAGCUUAUAGAUUUGAGAUGAAGUAUAGUUUCCUCUCCCUUAAUUAUACCAAAACAACUCUUUUCCAAUUAGAACCUUUUGUUUUCAAUAAUUAACAUUGCUAACUUGCAACCUUUAUCAUAAUUAUCAUGCUCCCACUAACAUGAUGAUUAUUAGCAUAACACGUAUGCUACCACUAGCUUUGACAUGUACUCAGAAAUCAGCUGGACUUCUAGAAAUCAAUACUUUAUUGACUUUCUUACCAAAGUUCAGAUUUCUGAUACUAGAUUGCCUCGAUAAGACUUUAUCAAAAUCAUACACCUUUCUUAGGUAGCUCACAAGUGUGUCUAAACAAUUUCAGAACUAUGAAAAGGGAUGCUGUAAUCAUAGUCUCAAUUGUUUAGACUUGUUUCCAUUUCUCAUAAGUCAAUGUUAGUGUGCCGAUUAACCACGCACACUCCACUAACGACUUUGAGAACUGAAAAUAUCACAAUUGCUAUCUACUUAAAAUCUACUUAGUGAAAUAAUUUCCUCACCAUCAUUUUCAUGAAUCAGAGAGAAACCUUAUGACACUAGAUUUUAUGGUGUAUGUGUUCUUAUCCAUGUGAAUUUGUCAAAACCAUAAUCACAAGACUAAGUUAGUGACAAAUCCUAACUCAUAUGGAUUGAACUUGUGCAAUCUUAACUUCUUGCCACCUGGCAGCUCAAGGGCCUGCCAUUGAUUCCAAGCAGCUAUACAAACAAUUGAGAACUCUAAGAACUCAUAUGCAAAGCCAACGUUAACUGGAAUGGGUACAAAAUAUGUCAACACGAUAGGUUAUAAACCUCAAGUUGUGUGCUAGUGAAGCACUUAUAACUUCAGGUUUUAUUCUUAAUUAGUUCUUGAGACUUUCAAGACCUUUAAGACUCCCACUAUCCUCUUGACUUAUAAGACUCCCUUGUCAAACAUCCAAGAGAUAGUGCGGAUUCUAAUCAAGACAAAAACUUCACACAAUUGGCCUUGGUUGGUCUUUGUUUUAUCCAAAACAUCACAAGUUACCAAUUUCAAAUGUACAAGAGUAGAAAACUUUUACUCUUACAUUUGACAAGUGUGUUAUACCUUCUUUAAGACAUGUCACUAAAGUUACAAUCUUAGAGUAUAACUCUAUGAAUUGUUUUGGAAUGAAGUAUGAAUCAUCUUCUUGAUUUAACCACUUCAACAAUUCAUAACUCCUCUUCUUAACUAUCAAAAUGUACUUAGAGGAUGAAUUGUGAGAAGGUCUCAAAAUCAUUAAGAUGACCUUAAAACAUGAUACUAAAGUACUCUCCCAUCUUUUCAGAUUUGAGAAACUUUUAUCCUUCUGCCUAAUUUGAUUCUUCUUAUUCGUUCUGUCAUACAUUGAAAAUUUUCCAAUGUUUCAGAAUUAUACUUAAGCUUGUAAGUAUAAUCAUAUUUACUAAACCUUAGUAAAUCAUGACGAAUAGUCUUAUCCAUCUUUUGUGGUGGACUUUGACAAGUGCACAAGAAAGUGUACUUGAUCCCUUAGUCCUUCUCUUGACUCACACAUCCAUGUGAACAAGUAGUUAGUCUUAAUUUUUCCAAUGCUCGAAAGUUCUCAUUCAUCAUACUAUACAACUUGCAUGAUUCCAAGUUUCGGUCCAAUUGAAACUUGGGUGAUGAGAAUCUUUCCUUAUUUGGUAAAUUUAGACACUACCACAAAUGAAAGAAUCAAAUUCAUAUUUCCAAUAUUGCUAUAAACAUACAAACAUCAAGUUUUCAUGAAUGCCAUUGUAAGGAGAUAAAAAUAAAGUAAAACAAACUUUUAUUUAUUUUAAAAUGCGGAAAAAACUUUUUCCUUACAAUGUAACUUGAAAUGAAAACUAUGUUAUUACUUGUUUCCUAGCAAUCUAUCAUAACUCCUAAGAGUAGCUCAAGAAUCCAAUCUUCAAUCAAGCGAUAGAAAUCCAUCUUCGCGAUCAGAUUCAACAUACUCUUUCUUUAAGUUUCCUUCACUUUUCCUUUGAUUCUUAAACAUCAACAUGUGACCCAGUCACAUCUUGUAAUAAGAAUCUCAGAAUAGAAACUUAACCGAGUUAGAUAGUGGACCUUACCUGAAAUAGAGUCAAACUUAUUGACUUUACUAGCCUUAUGAUCUUUCAGGUAAAAUUGACAGCUUCGCAACCAAUGCCCUUUCCUUUUGGCAAUAGGACCAUAUGGACCCUUAGGUAAUAGUACAUGGGACUAUCUCAGACUUAGCCUUUCUCUUUACCAUUUGGUCAACCGAGUUGACUAUGGCCGAUCCCUUUCCAUUGGGAAGAGAAUGCUUUUCUGGAUUUCCUGUGUCACUAUUGUCCCUGUCCAUAAAGUUUUGGGAAGUUGAUCUCCUAAUCAAAUUUGCUUUACUAGUACACUAAAUCAUUUCUGAUUUAGCAGCACCAAGCAAAUAGAUAAGAUCAUUAAGGGUCUUGUCAUAGUCUGUUUCAUAGGAGUCCCAAGGAACUCACUAUGUGACUUAGAAAGUGAUUGAACCACUAACUUUCUUAAGACUUUGACACCCAACUCUCCCGGCUUGUCAGUAUGUGACUUCAUCUCCAAGAUGUGAUCACACCUAGACCUUGCCUUGCCAAUAGGGCUUGAGUGACCUUGAACUUGUGGGUUAGGGAGAAUAAUUGGAGGAGGUGGAGGAAGUGAAGUUCCAAGAUAUUUGGGAAGAUCAUAGAUGUCUGAACUAGACAUCUUUUGGGAGAUAUUCAAGAUAGUUGAUUUAAAGUCCUUAAUAUAACACCCAAUAUGAAAUAUUAAGGCUAGGACCCAACAAACUAUUUUAUAACUUGGAAGAGGGAUGCCGUAAUCCAAGCUAUAGAAUAUUUGAAGGUAGGUGAAUGACGAUUCACCAAUUUCCACCAUGAAAAACGAAAUAAUUUAUUAGGUUUUAAUUGGAUUUGAAACUCCUAGAUCUUUUGAGAUUCAUUGAACUUUUCAAUGGCAUGUUUCAAUCUCGAGUGUGCCCUUCAGGUUUUGUGACUGGGAUGCCGAGGAUCACAAAACAAGGUGUGAAGUAACCAUGCAAAUUACUUGGUACCCUUAAGUGUUUACCCCUCAAUCGAUGUGCCGGUUAACCACACACGCUCCAUCGAUACUAUGAUAAACAUUAAGUUACCCUUUGCCUACCUUGUUAAAUACGAGUUAGUGUGCCGGUUAACCACACACGCUCCACUAACCGACUUAAACAAAGUGCAAAGUGUAAUUUCAUGGAUUAGCACCUUAUUCACAUUUUCCUAAGUAACUAAGAUUGGGUAUUAUUAAGAGUUUAGUUACUUAGUAUUUAUCAUUAAUACUUUUAAUGAAGGGAGAAUUCUAGUCCUGUCAAACCCGUUCGGCUAACGACCCUCCACCAGUCAAGCAAGCGGUGGGUGAGAGUGGACACCCAUUAAGUUGCCAUUUUAUAGGCAACAACCUUAUACCCACCUUAUAGACCGGCUUCGUGAAUGAGGCGUACUAGCGGUAAGACUGACUUUACUCUUAUACAUAUAUAUAUUAUUAACUUAUAAUAUUAUAAAGUAUAAGGGUUGAAUUUUAUUUUAAAAUUCUAAGGGCUAACUUGGAAUUAAAGUAUUCAUAAGUGAAAACUUUUUUCAAAUUCCAAAACUUGAGGGCAAGUUUUGAUACUAUUUAAAACUAAUUAAUUCCAUAACCUAUGUGUUUAAAGUAGUUUUAUUCCAAAACUCUUCAAGUUCCAUAACUUGAGGACAAGUUAUGAAAGACAUUAAACUAUUAAAAGAAUUAACUUUUCUUUAUUUUAUAACUUAUGGAAUUAAUUAAGGUUACACAUUUUAUUAUUUUAUUUUAUUUUAUUAAAUGAAGAGACUCUUGGUCCUCCAUAACUUGAGGACAAGUUAUGGANUUAUGAGUUUUAUGAAACUUAAAUGUGACUUUUCAUAUAACUUGAGGACAAGUUACAAAAACACAUUUUAGAAUCAACUCUUAGAUUAAUUUGGAUUGAAAACAACUAUUUCACUCAACUUUCUAUUAAUCUAAGCAACUCAUAAGAACAAGAUAAUUCAAAUCAAACUUUUUCAUGUAAUUAGUCUAAACCUUAAACUAAUACAAAACAUGAAUCUAUUGACAAUUAUCUUUGAAAUUGGAUUUGCAUGAACAUUACCACAUCAAAACAAGUUUAUAAGUCCAAAAACAUCUUAGGGUAAUGUUCCUAGUCCAAUUCCAGCCAAAAAAGUCAAAUAUAUGCUGUCUGGGGAUCCAACUCGUCGAGUGCACGAACAAACUUGGCGAGUUGGAUGAAUUUUGCCUUGGACUCGGCGAGUCCAUCAGUGGACUCAGCGAGUCUGCUGUGCAGACAGCAUAAAAACUCGAUUUUUCAGCCAAUUUUGCAAGUAUAAGAAGAAAAAAAGCCUAGUCUCUGAUACCACUGUUGGGUUUUGAGCAUUCUAACACUCCUAAGUGUACAUGCAACCCUAAAUACCUUGGAUCUAUGUUUUCUCUAUUAUGCAUGCACAUAUGAACUUUCCAAGGUAUUAUCCUAAUCUGGCAUACAAAACAAUGAAUAUAACAAGAUAGAAUACAUACCUCUUUGAUGUAGAAAUCCUCAUGAAGCUUGAGUGCCUAGUGCCCCAUGUGUGACACCUCAAAUGGUUCACACAACAUCAAUUGCUUUUGGAAUAACCUUGAGAGAAAUGUAGAACACUUGAAAUCGGCGAGCCCUUCUCUAGAAUAAUACUAGUAGUCGAUUUUGGUGAAUAAUAUGAUGCUUAUAUAGUGUGUUACAAUAAGGGUUACACCGUGUAAACCCUAAUUGUCAUGACCUUUCAUUACCAUGACCCAUGGGUUAUGUAACCUCCAUGGAGCAUCCUAUGGGUUUAACCCAACUUGAUUAUCCAUGGAGCUUUGGCCCACUAUAUAAGUUAUCGAUGAUUUGCACAAUCAACCCAUAUAUUUAAUUAGUCUUCUUUUGAUCACAUAAUUAAUUCUAAAUUAAUUCUUGAUCAAUACUAAUUAAAUAUUAUUAUUCUUAUUAUUAAUAUACUAGAACUUAUAAUAUAUUAAUAACCAUAAGUGUCUUAUUUCUCUCAUUUAGUCUAUCCAAGUGCAUGAUGCCAUGCAACCCAAAUGGACCAUGCCGGGUCGGGUCAAGUCUUACCAAUUAUAGUUAUGGACUUAGACAUUAAUCCAACAGUCUCCCACUUGGAUAAGUCUAAAACUAUUAUUGCGUAUGACUUCAGGAACCAACUGGCAAUCGUAGCUCUCAAAAGCUUCUGUCGAACUCUGACCUUGUAGAUGAACUCUGACCUUUGUCAAUGACUUGUCCAUUAGAUAAGGGAUCAUAUAUUCCUCCAUUCUAGAUAUCAUAUGGACUGAGACAUGGAUUAUAAUCAUUCUCUCUGUCCAUUUGUUGUUUCCUGAUUUCCGAUUUAUGACGACUGACUAAUUGAACAAAUCAAAUCAGUCCUGGCCCGGCCGAGCACUUCCAUUUGUCAUCAUCAAAUCAUCGAGGGGCCCACAGAUAUCGCUUUUAUCCCGAAGGUAAAAGGAAUGGAUAAACUUCGACUCAUAUGGCUUGUUAUACUACUUGUUGAAUCAUACACAAAGACACGUUUUAUAACACCGAGUUACCGAAUGCGUUUUC
rnacentral:lncRNA from 1 species